CUAUCCUACCAUCUCUUUCUCAUUUUCCUCAUUUCUUUAUUCCUUUUCUUUUGGCUGCUUGUUUUAUCUUAUCUGUUGAAUCUAUCGAAGUUUAAAUAAUUGCUUCAUGGUUUUGCUUAGAAGAAGUUUUCUUGUUACUUAUUUGUCAAGUGUUCUCGCUAAAGCAUUGUUUUAUUGGCCUAAUAAAUGUCUUCUGGGUGGUUAUGUGAGCUAUAUUGGAGUUUUCUUAUUUGCGAAUCUUGCAUUUCAACAUUCUCUAAUCUAAGAGCAUGUCAGUGUUCAACUCAAUCAUACUCUUAACGAGGCGUGGACCACUAGUGGUGGUUGAACUUAUAGUCUUCAAUGGCUGCAAGGGAAGAGAAGCCAAUUUUAGCCAAGUUCAUCUCUAAUUUAAAAAAUGCAUGAGGUCAAGGAUGGCCAGAAGUCCAAAACUGAGCCAAGCACCCAAGCAUUAGGAUUGCGGUGUGGUGUGGUUGUUUGGAGGAGGCUUGGUGAUGUCUAACCAGUCAAUCUUGACCUUAAGCCAAACUGACUUGGAGCUUGGAAGAAGGGUUCAGAGGCUAAUUGUAAGUCUACAGCCUUGGAAGCAACUCAACUGUGUACGAAGUUUGGCGUCUGGCCCUUCAGAUUGAUGUAUUUUGUGGUGUACCACAAUUGCUCUUUGACAAUUGCUCUCUCAAAGACUUCUGAGAACUAACUCAAUAGAAAUUAUUACCUGUGGUUCUUGCCUUUUUUAGCCAAAAUUUAGUCUGGAAUAUUUGGUAGUGAAGGACCCAAUUUUUCCUGUUUUGUUAUUAAUCGAAAAAUACAUUUGUCAGAAGCUGAGUGGAAAUUUGUGGCAAUAUGUGUGUUAGGAAAAAUAUCUGAUGGCAAAGUCAUGUCUGUGAAUGACACUGGUAUACGAGUGUUAUGAUGUCAAAUAUUCACCAAAAUAAAGAAAAUUUUUUAUUCAUUACAUAACUGAUUCAAAAGGCAGAUUAUUUGGAGUAUAGGGCUGGAACAUUUGAGUGGUUCGUAAUGUUACCAUUAGUCAGUUUCUUAGAUCUUGUGCAUUGGUAGAAUGGUCUUGUUGAUGUGGUGCAUGUCUACCAGACAUAGGGAUAUAGCAUUCAUUUUAAUCUUUCUUAUAAAUUCUAGCCUCUUCUGUAACAUAUAUUGCGUAAUUAAUUCAUUUCCGCGUAUAUUGGUGUUCUUGACAACUGAACAAUGUACAGUUCGUGAAUAUUGAGUUAAUAAUAAUGCAGGUAUGUAGUUGUAAUGCAUUUGUACCACAUGUAACGUUGGGGCUAAUAAUGUAUAUUGUUAGCUAUCAAUUACUCGAGGAAACCAUCACCUAGAAAUAGGUUGUACCACUGCUUCUUGUUACUAUUUUUGUUUCUUGCUGAGCAAUUUACAGUGAUAGGACUCAAAGCAGCAAGGCCACUAUAUCUGAUUGGGACUGUAAGCUACCUUAAGGGUGUUUAUGUUGCGUAUAUCGUAAUUCACGUUCAGGAUGGUGAUGAAGCUGACUCCUAAAUAAGAAGAUUUCCAGAUUGGAUUUCAGUUUACC